GGGUGAGUAACACGUGGAUAACCUACCUAUAAGACUGGGAUAACUUCGGGAAACCGGAGCUAAUACCGGAUAAUAUUUUGAACCGCAUGGUUCAAAAGUGAAAGACGGUCUUGCUGUCACUUAUAGAUGGAUCCGCGCUGCAUUAACUAGUUGGUAAGGUAACGGCUUACCAAGGCAACGAUGCAUAGCCGACCUGAGAGGGUGAUCGGCCACACUGGAACUGAGACACGGUCCAG
rnacentral:rRNA from 1 species